UGUGCCAGCCGCCGCGGUAAUACAGAGGGUGCGAGCGUUAAUCGGAUUUACUGGGCGUAAAGCGUGCGUAGGCGGCUUUUUAAGUCGGAUGUGAAAUCCCCGAGCUUAACUUGGGAAUUGCAUUCGAUACUGGGAAGCUAGAGUAUGGGAGAGGAUGGUAGAAUUCCAGGUGUAGCGGUGAAAUGCGUAGAGAUCUGGAGGAAUACCGAUGGCGAAGGCAGCCAUCUGGCCUAAUACUGACGCUGAGGUACGAAAGCAUGGGGAGCAAACAGGAUUAGAUACCCUGGUAGUCCAUGCCGUAAACGAUGUCUACUAGCCGUUGGGGCCUUUGAGGCUUUAGUGGCGCAGCUAACGCGAUAAGUAGACCGCCUGGGGAGUACGGUCGCAAGACUAAAACUCAAAUGAAUUGACGGGGGCCCGCACAAGCGGUGGAGCAUGUGGUUUAAUUCGAUGCAACGCGAAGAACCUUACCUGGCCUUGACAUACUAGAAACUUUCCAGAGAUGGAUUGGUGCCUUCGGGAAUCUAGAUACAGGUGCUGCAUGGCUGUCGUCAGCUCGUGUCGUGAGAUGUUGGGUUAAGUCCCGCAACGAGCGCAACCCUUUUCCUUACUUGCCAGCAUUUCGGAUGGGAACUUUAAAGAUACUGCCAGUGACAAACUGGAGGAAGGCGGGGACGACGUCAAGUCAUCAUGGCCCUUACGGCCAGGGCUACACACGUGCUACAAUGGUCGGUACAAAGGGUUGCUACACAGCGAUGUGAUGCUAUCUCAAAAAGCGAUCGUAGUCCGGAUGAGUCUGCACUCGACUCAUGAGUCGAUCGCUAGUAUCGCGGAUCAGAUGCCGCGGGUGAAUACGAUC
rnacentral:rRNA from 1 species